ensembl:lncRNA
GGACCUGAGGUGAGGAGACGAAGGGACCUGAGGUGAGGAGACGAAGGCCCUGAGGUGAGGAGACGAAGGACCUGAGGUGAGGAGACGAAGGCCCUGAGGUGAGGAGACGAAGGCCCUGAGGUGAGGAGACGAAGGACCUGAGGUGAGGAGACGAAGGGACCUGAGGUGAGGAGACGAAGGGACCUGAGGUGAGGAGACGAAGGGACCUGAGGUGAGGAGACGAAGGACCUGAGGUGAGGAGACGAAGGGACCUGAGGUGAGGAGACGAAGGGACCUGAGGUGAGGAGACGAAGGCCCUGAGGUGAGGAGACGAAGGACCUGAGGUGAGGAGACGAAGGCCCUGAGGUGAGGAGACGAAGGGACCUGAGGUGAGGAGACGAAGGCCAACGAGAGCGUCCUGUUUGAUCUCUUCUGCAGGACUCGUCAUGUGAUCAGCAGGGACCAAUCGCACCUGCUCACCGGCAGCAAGCUCCUCCGCUCGCCUCCUCGGGACGGAAAUCAAGCAUCAAACAUCUUAAUUAAAGUCAUUCAUGAAAAUCGGUCGUUUAUUCCUCUGUUAUGAAAUGUGUUUCUCAGUCUAUAAUUAUUAGGGUUGAUCAGCACCUAAUAACCAAAAUAAAAGAACAUUUAGUUUAGAACAGAAACACACCUGACAGAGAGAUGUUACACGUUUAAUUAAAAUAAUGAAUUUAUUAUUCAUUAAAGGAUGCAUAAGAAUAAAAAGUGCCCGCUGACAUUUCCCCCCCUUCUCUCCUCGUUAAAGUCAACGUGUGAAAGCCGGACUUUUGCUGUGAUGAGUUUAUAGUUUCAUAACGAGUUUCUAAGAAAGAAAAAUGUUAAUAGAAGCUUUUAAUACGUCCCCUAAAUAUGGUUUUAAUAUGUUUGCAUGAGCCUGCCUGACGCUCCGCCCCCCCUGUGCUGCACCCAGAGCUCAUUUCUGUGUUUUACUUUAUCAACUUAUCAAACAGACCGACAGCCGCUUCCUGCAGACACGUUGGAAAUAAACAGUUUGAUGUCAUCAUGAAAUAAACAGUUUGAUGUCAUCAUGAAAUAAACAGUUUGAUGUCAUCAUGAAAUAAACAGUUUGAUGUCAUCAUGAAAUAAACAGUUUGAUGUCAUCAUGAAAUAAACAGUUUGCUGUCUUCAUGACAUGAAGAGUUUGCUGUCUUCAUGAGAUGAAGAGUUUGAUGAAGAGUUUGCUGUCUUCAUGAGAUGAAGAGUUUGAUGAAGAGUUUGCUGUCUUCAUGAGAGGAAGAGGCAUCAGGAUGAAACUGAAACGUUUUCUUCUUUCACAACGUGUUGAAAAUAAAGACGCAACGAGUCUCGUCUCUGAACUUCUCAUGCAAAUCCGCUGCAGCUUUAAAGAAGUCUUUACUGACAUUAAUCACAUGAUUUCCAUGACAUUUGCAUGUCAUUUGCAUGGACAGAGACAUUUCCCAAAGCUGCUCAUUGUCUUCAUGGACUCCGGACCUUCGUCCUUUAACUGCCGGGGUCGGAGGCUGUUAAACCGAACAGAAGAGGCCGAGAGCUUUGUAACCACCUGUGGUUCCACAAAGGCUCCGGUCUGAAAUGCUCACACCGGGUCAGUUUGGGAGGAAACGCCGCUUUACCCAUGAGCCUCGGCUGCUGCUGCUGCGGAGCAGAAGAAGAAGAAGAAGAAAUGAGGCAGUGGAGAGAUUUUAACCCAUGGAUGUUUAUCAGCAGAAUGAGAUGUUCUGUGAGGAGCUUUGUUAGUGAAAUGCAAUAAAAUGUAAUGUGUCAUAAGGCCGAUAUUUUCAAGUUACACUUGAAGAGUUUGACUUUAAAUAUGAAUCAUAGAAUUAUGUAUUUUUAUUUGUGAAAACAUGCAUCAUUCUGUAAAUUAUUUUAUGACUUCAAAGGAACACGUUUCUCUAUCAAGUGAAAAUAAUAUUGAUUUUAUUUGUUAUGAGAUUAAUUUGGAGGUUGAGAUGAUUUCAGAGGAAACACACACACACACAUACACACACACACACACACACACACACACAUAUUUCUAACAAACAUCCAGCAUUUUGUGUGAUGAAACGUUUUCUAGCUCUCUAUAAAUCUGCUGUGUGACUCAAUCUGUCCCAAUAAAUCUUCAAUAACAUCGUUAUUCAUUCUGUAAUUUGCAACUCGUUCUAAACUGUGUAAAUUUGCCCAAACCGGAUUUAGACAGAAAUAAAAAAACGAUCCGUUUUCAGUCAUUAAAAUGCUUCUUUGUGAGUCGUUGAGAUUUUCAUUUACAUCCAGACACAGACUUUGAUCUGAGUCCAGACCCCAACCCAGAUCAGAGGAGCGUUCCCUUAUCGGCCUCGUUCUGCUUCCUCCUCCCACUUCCUUCCUCCUCCUCCUCCUCCUCCCUGCAGCUGUCUGAGCGUCGGGGUCGAGGUCCUGAGGGGGGGUUGACACGUUAGUUGCUCACACAGUCGAUCAGCGCGACGGAGGAUGAAAGUCACUACCUGAAGUCGGGUGCUUUUAUUGUGGAGGGGUUAGCCACAGCGAGUGAUUCCUGCCACGCGCCGCUCAAUUACAGCCAGUAACCACUAAAUGCUGCUGAUUCACACACACACACACACACACACACACACACACGCGCACACACACACACACACACGCACACACAGUCUGAUUGAAAUGUCAUCAGUGGAGGAACAGGAAGAGAGCGCAGAGAAGAUGGUUUCUCCUUCUGACCUUUGACAUCUCUGCCACACUCCCCUUCCUGUUGACCCUCCUCCCCCUCAACAUCGUGACAGGACGUAGCUUGAAGUCACGUGGGCUGUGUGGUGGAGGUCAAAGGUCAGGUGGGGACUUUGUAACAUGAAAUGCCUCGCUGUGACUGGUCGUCAUCGCCACGGGAUCAGUGUUUCCAGCGUAAUCACAGUUUUGUGAUGACACUUCCUGUUGUGUUCCUGUUAUUCUGUCCACUCCUGCGUGCAGCGGCACACUGACAUUUACAAGUAAAAGUUUAACUUCCUUUUGCAGUUUUUUUGCAUCGUCAUCUCCAUAAAUAGAACGGAAGCAUUUCAAAAUAAAUCCCAGCAGCUUUGACUGGAGCUUCAGGAGACGAAUCCGCUGACUGAAGGUCGCACAGCGAGGACUCGCCUGACCUCAACUGUCCCCACGGAGACACGCCCGCAGGAGACCCGGCGUGACGCCAGCGCCGUCCGUCACGUGACCUCUGCGGCGACCGAACGGGCGAACGCAGCGAAGCUUCUCUCCCGUCAGAAGACAGUCCGACAGUUGAGGACAUUCCGUACCUGAGAGUCUUUGAUCCAAACCCGCAGGCCACGAGGCCUCAGACGGCCUUCAGAGGAAACACCCAGUGUGCGUCUGUGUGUGUGUGUCUGUGUGUGUCUGUCUGUGUGCGUGCAGCAUUUCAAACAUGCACCAAACUGUGUGUUUGAAUCCUUUUCAAUGGUUGAAUAAAUAAGAGGACCACAGUUGUUAUUUUGAUACAUCAAAGAGUCUCCUGAGGACCGUUACAUAUCAAAUACUUGCUGUGUAUAUUAGUACGUGUCCUCAUAUUGCCUCUCGUCCUUGGAUGGUGUCUGUCCACUGAUCUCUUCCUCUCAGCUUCAGGUCGCGGUCCCUGUGAAUGUCAACAAACGGGACAUUUGUCUUGAUGGGUGUGAGACGAAGUGAGAGGGACAGAAGGAGACAGAGAACGUGAGCAGGAUGUCUGCCGCCAUCAUUAUUUCACAUUCCAGCUGCGGCUCAUUGUCCGCCUCGGGGACGUUUGUCCCCCGGCCGUCCUCGGGUUUGUCAGCGGCUCGUUUGUGCUGCGGCGACGGGCCGCUAAGGACACGGAGGAGGGGAGGAAGUGCUCUCCGCUCGAGGACAAAAGACCAUUGUCCCGUCCGAGCCGACCUGAGAGACGUUCACAUUGGGACAACAAUGAGCGGCGCGGAGAGGAGGACCGAGGGGGGACGGACCGGCGAGGAGGGGACCAGAGUCGGAGUCAAGGAAAGGUUCAGUCCCUGUCCUGAAGGAGGACGGGGCUCACUCACGUCUCUCUGGGACAAAGACAGGAAGACGUUAACACUGUACGCAGUGAUGGGAGAGUUGUUGUCCACGAGACACCUGGACGUUAAAGUCCUGCUGCUGUCUUUGAGCUUCACAGGAGGGGACGGGGACUUUGUUCUGUGUGUUUAUAUCACACAAAGAGUGAAGUGAGACGUGUCCAACCGACGGAGAUCUGUCCUCCAGCAGAUAACUGUCUCUUAUCAUGGUCUCCGCGGUCCAUUUAGGGACAAAUACGUUAAAGCAGGGGAUGCUUUGGGGCGGGGCUCAACAGUGAUUGACAGGUUAACGGCGUCUCUGCAUUGCUCGUCCUCACUACGAAUGAGCGACUUCCUGUUCAUUUGUUUUAAAAGCAAGAUGGCGACGGCUAAAAGACGAACGUGAGGCUUCAAAACGUCACAAACCAAGAAGAGACGUCUUCUUCUUAUCGACACUCUGUACUUCUGUAUUUAUUGGAACUCAACCCUCUUAUUCCAAAUGCAGUUUCCUGUGAAGACGGUAGUUUAUUUUGAAAAUAAUUACUCAUCUAGCGAGCAGGAAUCUGGAGUAACUUUUCCGAGGAUGAGAACAGUCGCGUCGGGAAGCGUGAUUAAGUGAGAAUAAAGGUUUGGGGGGAUUCUUGUUCUUUGUUUUUAAAAGGUGCUGGACAAAUAAAACUGUUUUAUUAUUUUAAGUCUCAUUCCCAGCUGGAAGACGUUGAAGACUCUCUGAUGCGUCUUCCUGUGUGUCGUUCACUUCCUGUUCAGCCAUCAGCAUGAAACAGGAAGCGGUCCCAGCAUGCACUGCUGCACACGUCUCCAUGUGGAGGACAAAGAGCUCUGGAUCCUCAGGAGACAAACAAACGGCAAGAAUCACGAGUCAAUGUGCAAAAACAAAGUUGUUAAAAAAUAAACAUGCAGUUUAAAGGUGACAAACAUAAACAACAUUAUGAGAAUAAUGACGAGGUGAAGUAUUUUUUAAUCAGCCGUUUGUGACGUUUCUGUCUGUUGACAGCAGACGGAGGAAUGAAGAGGAGACUGUCUGUCCUCAUUAGUGAUGAUGGGGGGGGUCACAUGACAUGAGAACAACAGAUGUUAAAGAGGAGCGCUUCCCAAACGCUCUCCGUCCUCAGCACGCCGGUCCAGGCUGCUAAUUGUGCGUCCGUCCCCCCCCCCCCCCUAACCCGUCUCAAUCACCCCCCGGUUGCUGCCUCGCUGGACCAGCUGCUGCCUGUCUGAGACCCUGAGACCCCCACAGCCUGAACAGCAGCUCGGCUUCCCUGGAGAACCACGGACCGUCGGUACAGAGUUCUGACUUUCAAAACAUAACAAACACAACAAAGGAAAAUUCAAAAUCUUACGGUGAAUUUAAUUAUUGAUUAAUUAUUAAGUUGUUACAUGAGUUAAAGUCAUUUAUGUUGUGCUACAAAUCCCAAACUAUGAAGAUUGUAUAUAAUCCUGCAUAUAUAGAAGUGCGGCCUGCUUCUUAAGGACACCGGAGGACAGGGACGUCUCUUUUCCGUCCCACCCUUCACGUCUCGGUCCUCAGGUUUACACGAGUCCAGCGAGCCAACUUGUUUUAACGUCUUACGCUCUCACGUUGUACUUGAAUGCAUCAGACGCUCUGGGUUUAUUCUUGUGACGCUGAUGUGCACUACAUUUCCCAUGAGGCCACAGGUGAGUGUUUGCAGCUUGUUGCAUAAGUUGCGGGAAUGUCCUGUCCCCCCCCCUCUCUCUCUCUCUCUCCCUCUCUCUUUAUAUCUGCUGCCCUUUUCACACCUUAUAAACAAACUAGAAUUGUAACUGAAACCCGACUCAAAUCUAAACUCCCACGUCUGUGACACCUGAAACCCACCAUCUGCGUGUGAAGGUGCACUUGUGAAGUUUGUGCAGAGCAGAAACUCUCCGUUGUGUUUCCACCAUGUCAGCGUGACCUCAGCAGCACUUUUGGUUGUGCAGCUCCUGUUUCUGCAGCCAGGCGGGAUUCAAUGAUUGACAGGUCAGAGGGUUGAACGCUGACUGGUGAGAUUAGACGGUGAAUUAGUGACGCACCUUUAGAAACUUCACUGAUUUCAAUGAUGUUGGUUACUAAUUGGGGCAUAAAUUGCUGCACAGGUUCAAUCAUUGUUUUCAUAUUUUGGGCCCUUCAUUGAGGAGUUUUGCUCUCCUUGUAUCUCCUGCAGUCCAAACUCAUGCAGGUCAGUGAAUCAGGUCAACAUGUUCCCACACUGCGAAGAACCGUCUGUCCCCGCGUCGGUCCUGUGACAGGCUGGCGUCCUGCCCAGGUACAAGCCCCGCCCCUCACCCCGCGUCCACUGAGAUCCCCCCCAGCAUGAUAUCACGUUCACAUAAUGCUUGUCUUUCACAGUUAAUGACAUAAGAACGUUUUAUGGAUCCAACAAGUUCUCUAUCAAGACAUUUCCUGAUCCAAACGAACUGAGCAAAUCAUUAAAAAAACAUAUAAUGAUGGAGAUGAGAUGAGAUGAGAUGAGAUGAGGUGGAGAACGAGAUAAAGGUGAAAAUCAGAUAAAGAUGUCUCAUCUUUAUCUGAUUUUCGACGAUGGUGCAUCAUGGGUAAUAGGUGCUGUGUUGCAGUAAGUCUGCAGGCAGAGGCGGGACCUCCGGUGGUCUCUGCAGGACUCGCUGUCUGGUUUCAGAUAGACAUGAACUAGAGAUGAGUUGAAGAUGUGAUAUAGCGAUGAGGUAAGAUAGACAUGAAGCACCAGAACAGACACAAACAGAUGGAGAAAGCAGGUCCGGGUUCACGGCGAUGGUGCAUCAUGGGUAAUAGGCGCUGUGUUGCAGUAAGUCUGCAGGCAGAGGCGGGACCUCCGGUGGUCUCUGCAGGACUCGCUGUCUGGUUUCAGAUCAGAGCGCUGCAUUCCUGUGUCAUGACAUGUGAUGGUAUUCCAGCACAAACAGUUCUCCGGAUAGAAUUUCCCUGCAGCACCAGUGUGUGUGUGUGUGUGUGUGUGUGUGUGUGUGUGUGUGUGCAGUAGCAGAGCAGGCCGUCCUGUGCUCUCAGUCUGGUCCAGGUUCAGGUCGGAGUCUCGGCGCGCUGCUGACCCGCUCUAAUUGGCUUAUGCUGGUGCACAGACGGUGACAUCAUCUACGCCCAUAUAUGGAGUUGUGUCUCUGCAGCUCUGACAGGAAAACAAGCAGAGUUUCAGUCUUUCCACCAGAUGUUGAACCGGCUGCAAGGAAAGUAACUAUUACAGUUACUCAAGUAUCCUGCCUACACUGUGUGAUUUUAUGUUUCUUUCUACUUCUCCUUCAUGCAUCUAAGAAGUUUAUAUUGUAUUUAACUGCUCCAGAUGUAUUUUUAUUAAUAUAUUUAGUCACUCCACAUAUUUGUAUUAUAUGUGAAAUAUUAUUAAAAAUGAUAUAAAUGUAUUAAAAGAGCUGUAAGAUGAAUGUUUCAAUAAUAAAUAUAUAUUAUUUCACGUUAAUACUUUAGACGUUUUAAAUAAACUGAUCGCAGUACUUCUUCCAGCUCUGGAAAACAUAUAUUUAUAUGUAUAUAUAUAUGUCACAUAUCUCACACAUGUUGUGCAUAAAAGUUGUCUUAUGAAGGGCCACCGAAAAUGCAGCUGCAAUUAUUUACAUAUUUUGAAUGAUUCAUGUGGAUUUUAUUAGUUAUUAGUAGUUAAUUUUAAAUGAUUCAAUGGGGGGAGAGAGAGACAGAUAAGGGGGGGUGAGAGAGAGAGACAAGGGGGGGAGAGAGAGGGACAGACAGACUGCCAGAGAGAGAGAGAGAGAGAGAGAGACAGACAAGGGGGGGAGAGAGAGAGAAAUCCUGUUUCCAGAGAAGCUCCCUCUUCAUUCUUAACAUUCCUGAAGCAUUUGACCUUCUGCCACACUUCCUUUGUUCUAGCUCACUGUGAAAAUCUUUCCAGUAAAAUAUCUAAUCCUUUUAAACAAAUGCACACACACACACACACACACACACACACACACACGCACACACACACGCACACUUAAUGUUCUAACAACCUGCUUCCUUAUUUGGUCAUUGAGAUCAUCUGCAGUCACAGACUGAGAAGCGAUCGUCUUGUUUCCAGAAAUGCUGAAUGUUUUCUCAAACAUCUGAUAGUGUUUAUUUUGGUAAUUUACAGGGUAUGUUGUUAUGCUUCUUUCAUGGACUUCUCUACUAUCUUGUUAGAUAAGUAUUGUUUUUAAGCUGAAUGUGGCCCUAUUGUUCCCACUGUGACAAUAAACCACGUCUUACCUCGUGUUGUUUUAUCUUCUAUGAUAAUAAAAUGACAAAAGGGCAGAACAAUAAACUAAGUAAGAGAAGAGAAGAAAAAGCCAGUAGGUCGAAGGUCAAGAAUGAAUGUCCACAGUGAAGAACACGUGAAGAUGAUAGGUCAGUUAUUUAAUGUUAUUCUCCAAGCUCAUCUUCCUCUUGUAUGAACCAGUUAUUUGUUGGAUUCUACACAACAACGUUUAUUUUAGUUUCAACACUCUGGUUGUAACAUGUAUGUUUACAAUCAGCACAAGAAAUGACGAGGUAGUCGCACAUGUGAACUAUAACGUACUUAAAGCUUACUUGUUUUUUUUUAGGAGAAAAAUCCCGGGUUGAUAAUAAUGAAAAUAAUUACGAACCAGAAUUGAAAUCACAGCUUCUAAACUAAAACAGUCUGGUUUGAAUUGAUAUUUUAACAAAUGUAGCUUUUAUUUUGUUUUAUUAUUAACAACUGCUAGAACUCUGCUCAUAGCUCAUCUGUUUAAAAGUUGUAGAUGAAGCUUUGAAACUGAGGAUAUUAAAACAAUUUGCAGAUCCAAAAAGGGUUACAAAGAGGGGCGGGGCUUAACAAACGGUCAGCUGUGUCAAUCUGGCGUCUGUAUUUCAGUAAUAACCUGUGUUUUCACUGCAGAGGAAACAAUACAGGGCCGAGUGUGUGCGUGUGUGUGGGUCCACGUGUUCGUGUGUACUCUCAGCUAGUCAGGUUACCGUAGCAACGCAGCGUUGUUUGGGAAUCCCCAGUCUGCUGCUGAGGGGUCCAUCUCAGGGGGGAGGGGGGGGGUCUCCAUGCGAUGACCCAGCAUGAGGCCUCCCCCAGUAUGUGUGUGUGUGUGUGUGUGUGUGUGUGUGUGUGUGUUUGGGGGGGUUAAGGGUUGAGGCAACGAGGCCCACGGGGUGACUUCUAAGCUUGUGGAGAAAACCCGAAAAUAAAUCAACGACUCAAUCAACCGAGUCGUGAGCUGCUUCCACUGUUUCCACAUAAACACACACACACACACACACACACACACACGUGCCCACUAACAGAACAGCCCAUUGGAACAAACCCGUGUUGCAGUUUUUAACCUGUAAAAAAACCCGCUCACGCUGGUUUGGGUGAAGGACGCCUUCGGUCGGGCUCCUCUGAGGAUGAACCCUCCAGAAUUUCAUUUCACUUUUGGAGAUAAAGGAAUCACAGAUUUGAUGUAAAGAGGCUGUUUAAUUAUGUCAUAAAAUGAGACUUAUCAGACAGCUACAAUACUGCAAAUAUAUGAGUAACCUAACAAUGAAAAUAUUAACAACUGCCUAACAAUCACAAUUGAUGUGUGUCGUUUUGUGAUGAUUAAAUGUGUUUGCAAAACAGCUUUAGAACUUCAAUAUGUGUGUGUUUGUAUCUGUCGGUGCUGUUCUGGAUAGAUAUCAAUGGAUACUGAUGGGUUAAGAUGGAUAUUGAUUUAUAUUGAUGGAUAUAUAUAUGGGUUUUGAUGGGUUAAAUGGGUUUAUGCUAAACUAAAGAUCCUCACAGAAUCAACAACCACACAACAGAACCUAAUAAAAACUUUAAAUAAAAAAGUUUAACCUGCAACAAUACAACAGUCAUCAACUCUGACGUUCUCCUAUGAGACUCUUUUCUCCCAACAAUCACGUUGAAUGAACCAUAAAGUGAACCAUAUGAAUCUGAACGUCUCAGCAGCUGAUUUCAUAUCUAAUCAUGAAAACAAACAGAGAACGAAGCCAAAAUGUCCGAGUACACUGCUGUCAGAGCACAGACACACACAGACGCACACAAACACACACCAGAUGUCUGAGCGGAUUAACACACACACACACACACACUGAGGGACGCUAGCCGAACUCUCAUUAAUCCACAUGACAAGUUUCUGAUUGAAUUAAAGCGCUUGUUGAAAACGAGUUUUAACGAGACGCAACUUUCUGUUUUCAGUUUCUUGUCCAAUAAAACACAUUUUAUUACCGUGUUCAUUAUCUAUAAUAUAUUUAUUAAUGACCUGAAGCUCCUCAUCAGUUGAUUUACUGUUAUGUCUCAUUGUCACAUGUUAUAUUGUUUAAUAUAUUUUAAUAUAUUUAAAAAAAUAUAUUUUGUCUUUAUUUUCUUAUCUAAAGCACUUUGAAAACCUCUUGUCUCUCGGUCAAUUAAGGUAUUUUAUUACAAUUUGUGUUAUUUCUGCCACAUCUACACAUCCUGCAGUCCUGAUAUAUACAUGUAUUAUGUAACUGUAAAACAUGAGUAAACAAUAAUUACAGGUAAUACAUCGAGCUCAAAAUACAAUAUAAAAUUGAGAUACCGAAAUAAUCUGGCUCUAUUCUAAAUUAUAAAAAUGCUCCAUUGAAACGAGUCCUCAAGAUGCAAAAAUAGCAUCUUCUAAAGUCUAAUCUAAUGUCAUUAUAAAAAAUGAUACUGUUCAUUUAUCAUCACAAAUAUGAACAAGGGCAUUUUAAUAUUAUAGCUUACUAAAGUUAAGCAGGUGUUAGACACUUUAUGUGCUACUUGACUUUACAGAGUAGAUCAGUAUGACAGUGCAUUCUUUUUAGUUGUUAUAUUUUAGUUAUUUAAUGCAUUAAAUAAUAACAGAAAGUGGAAAGUUGCACAAAACAUAUAUACUCAAAUGAAACACAACAUUGGAAAAUGUCUUUUCUGUUCAAGAAACAAAACUUUGAGUUUAAUAAAUGAAUGAUCACGUGAUUGUGUUUUUUUUAGACAAGUGAGAAAUCUCUGUCUCUUUAGUUUCUGAACUUUGACCUUUAAACUGGACCUCAAAGAUCUUCACUGAGGGACCAGUUUGGGUUUCUGUCCCCCGGCACUGAAGCUCCGUUGUUCCCCUCGGUCUAUUCAGAGGACACUUGAGCGUCUCCUCGUCCACGUGUCCCUGCACUGCUGCUAUCUAUAUCUCUGGAUGGACACACAGAGACUCUUUAAGUGCUGACUAACAGCUGCAGGGGACAAACGGACUGAUUGGCUGUGACAGCCUUUUGUCUACACACACACACACACACACACAAAGACAGGCAUUGAUGAGGCUGCAUGUGACUGUGACUGACCAACAACAUUCAUUACAUAAUGACACCACCGAGUCUUAUUUUCAUCCUUUCAAACUGCUUUUUGUCUCGUAUUUAUAUUUCUGUGACUAAAGCUAACGGCGACCCGGGCGACCCAAGCGCCGCCUCUCGCUAAUUGCUCCCAUGCCCAUCUGCAGAGUUAUGAAAUGCUGAACUUAGCUAAACGACGGCUGAUUGUCGGGACAACAAGGUCAAUGUUUGUCUUUCUUCUGUUGACGCGACAAAUCAGAGAACAACACGACAUGACUGAAAAAACCCAAACAGGAAGUGAACGUCGCUUCUUAAAGGUUCACGUUUCGGCUCCUCGGCACUAAAAACUCAACUUGGAUGUUCAUUGUUUUUAUUAUGGUUGAAUUAUUUAUUUUCCUGAUCCUAUCCAUGAAUUAAUUUACCACCAAAGUGCACAUUAAUCAACAUUUUCUACCUCAAAGGAAAUGUGCCAAAAUGUGAGCGCAAUGAGCUUGAGCUCCUUGUACUAACGUUAGCUUAACCUCAGGCCAACGUUAGCUCAACGUCAGCUCAACGGCGGCUCAACAUUAGCUCCACGUCAGCUCAACGUUAGCUCAACACCAGUUCAACAUUAGCUUAAUGUCAGCUCAACGUUAGCUCAACGUUAGCUCAACGUUAGAGGCUGAUGAGGCUGGUAGAAUGAUAAGUGAUAAACCAGUGAAGACGUAGAUGGGGAGGUGGGUGGAUGCGUAGCAGCGUCAUGAAUGCACUGAAGGUAUAACGGCAAACAUAUUUUAAAUGAGCCAGGGGCUAACAAUGCAAUUGUUUCAUUGUGCGUUUGGGAAGAGGAGCUGAUCUCGACAUCUGAUUUAAAGCACUGACAGCCUGUCUUAACGGGGAGGGAUCGGCUGAUGAUUGAGGAAUAAAGAGGAAUAAAGACUAAAAUCACCUGGAGCUCCAUGAAAUAAAAUUUAAACUGCGCUCAGUGACGCAUUCAGACACCGUCUUCUGAAGUGAUUUAGGAGCUGUGAACACGUCACAGGUUGUGUCAGUCAAUGAGUCAGUGAACGCGCCUUAAGGCGCCGCCACGCUGCUGCCGCUUGUUUUCAUUCUUAACACCGAGUCCAAAACCACCCUAUCGUUUUGCAUUCGAAGUGAAGUUACAGAACAAAAGGUCCAAAGAGCCACGUGAUGAUGUGAGUCAGUUAAUUACUGUAGCACACACACACACACACACACACAGACACACUGCCCUGUGUUCACAUUGGGGGUCAAACAUGGCCGCGGCCAUGUGUGUUUCUGGUCACAUGACGGCGUCUGUUUGGGCCGCACAAAGACGCGGCUGUACAUGAUUUGGGGUGUUUCCCUCUCAAAACAUACGGCGGAGGAGGGGAGUCUCGUUUCCAGGUAACGGCAUCACUGCCCGGUCAGUAACUCCGCCGUGUUAUCGGGGAGCCGAUGCAGCUGUGACACAUCUGGGAUGAGAUGGGGUUCGUGAGCAAGAACCGAGGGUUUCUGCCGAGUCAUGUCCGGCUUCUUCAUCUCUUUCUCCUGUUUAUAUAUACCGCUAUAACUACUACCACUGUGCUAUUACUAUGAAUACCACUAUAAAUACCCCCACUGUACCACUACUACUUUAAAUAUUCCCAUUAUACGUAGGCACACCGUAAAUACCACUUAUUCAAAUAAUACCACAAGACUAUUACUAGGAUUACCACUAUCUAUGCAUCAUUAGGCUGGGCUCCUUUAACCCUAUAAAUACUUUUGUGUGUCUGUGUGUAACGGAGUGAGUCACCCCAGGUUCAACAACAAAACAACACCACAAGUAAAUCAAUAAUCCACUCAAAGUUAAAUAAUCUUAUGUUAGAUUCUCAUUACAUGAUUCCAUUGUUUUCAUUAAAUCGAUGAAAAACAAAAACUUGUUUAUUGCUCAUUUUCCUUGUCUAGUCGUGUGUGUGUGUGUGUGUGUGUGUGAUAAUGAUGAUGAUUCAUGAGGAGAAAGUCUUGAGACAAUGACAUCAUCAGCAACAUCUGGAUCCAGAGUCUGUGUGUGUGUGUGUGUGUGUGUGUGUGUGUGUGUGUGUGACUCAACGUCUCUAUCACUGAAUCUCUGUCUGCUCUUAAGACUGAAAACAUCAUUUAUUUUUAGAAAUAUGAAACAGACCUCAGAUGUGUGUAUUUUCCAUCUGAUCCAAUAUAUUUAGUCGAAGAAAGAAGAUUUUAUAAGACAAAUAAAACAAACUCUUUCUACAGAAUCUUUUUAUCUUAAAUCCCCCUUAUUUUAUUUUAUCUCUCUUCGCCAGUUUGUUUGUAACUCUGAGGACAAACUGUUUCUAACUCAGGUGUGUGCGCGUGUGUUUGUGUGUGUGUGUGCGUGUGUGUUUGCGUGUGCGUGUGUGUGCGUGCGUGUGCGUGGGAGGGGUUAUGUCAUGCUUCUUAUGUAACACACUCAAAGGAAGCUGCUCCUUUCAAUGAAUCCAAACAAACUCUUUGGUCUCCCAUUAAAGUAAUCAAUAUGCAUCUUUAUGUCAUGGAUCACAUUGCUGGAGCAGCGUGUUCUCUGGUUCCACCUGCAUGUGUGUGUGUGUGUGUGUGUGUGUGUGUGUGUGUUUGUGUGCAGACAAAUGAACAGAAGAAAGAACAAUGGUGGUGUUUAAAUUUCCAUUAACCUUCGCUCCUUUUUCACAACAAUAUUUACAUCUUGCCUGUCUCGUGUUUUCAAACUUGUGCGAUGUUUCUGCAAAGAGGGACUGCAGAGGCAUUUUCCUAGAAAUCCUUCAGCUGAACCCUGAGGUACACACACACACACAGAGACACACACACACACGCACACACACACGCACACACACACACACACCGUGAACACACUCUGAGGCACACAGACCCACACGGACCCACACGGCCCUGCAGAGAGCUGAAUGCCAGUGUUUUGUCCCUCCGUAAACCGGCCCACCCAGUAACAAGGACUUUGUCUACACACUUCCAAGAACACCACCUGAACUCUGACUUCUGAGGUGUGUGCGUGUGUGUGCGUGUGUGUAGCUGUGCAUGUGUCUGUCUGUGUGUGUGUGUGUGUUAAGAUAAUCACAGUUAGAACUCAUGUCAUAUGUGUUUUAUAUGCUUAAUGUGCGCUUGUUUAUAGCUGAAGGUCCGCAGGAGGUCUGCAGGAGGAGGCAGCUGGUGCUGGUCUUCAGGGGAGGGGGGUCUGUUUUUUUUUGAGGGUGGGGGGGUUCUUCAGCCCUCCUCCUCCAGGUUCUGAGUCCAUGAGCAGCUCGCUGGGGGGUCAUCCUCACCAACAUUCUCCAUACAGCAUCACACACACCUGCUCCAGCUGAUCACUUGCCCGACAGGUGUCGCCAAGUGUCUCCAUAAGAACUGUUCUCACAAGACUGUCUCCAUAAGGACAGCUCUCAUUAGGAGU